rnacentral:rRNA from 1 species
UAGGGAAUUUUGGACAAUGGGCGCAAGCCUGAUCCAGCAAUGCCGCGUGCAGGAUGAAGGCCUUCGGGUUGUAAACUGCUUUUGUACGGAGCGAAAAGGUCUGCCCUAAUACGGUGGGCUCAUGACGGUACCGUAAGAAUAAGCACCGGCUAACUACGUGCCAGCAGCCGCGGUAAUACGUAGGGUGCGAGCGUUAAUCGGAAUUACUGGGCGUAAAGCGUGCGCAGGCGGUUAUAUAAGACAGAUGUGAAAUCCCCGGGCUCAACCUGGGACCUGCAUUUGUGACUGUAUAGCUAGAGUACGGUGGAGGGGAAUGGAAUUCCGCGUGUAGCAGUGAAAUGCGUAGAUAUGCGGAGGAACACCGGUGGCGAAGGCAAUCCCCUGGACCUGUACUGACGCUCAUGCACGAAAGCGUGGGGAGCAAACA